rnacentral:rRNA from 1 species
UACGGGGGGUGCAAGCGUUGUCCGGAAUCAUUGGGCGUAAAGAGUUCGUAGGCGGCACGUAAAGUCUGGUGUUAAAGGCAGAGGCUCAACUUCUGUACGGCACUGGAUACUUGCGAGCUAGAAUGCGGUAGAGGUAAAGGGAAUUCCUGGUGUAGCGGUGAAAUGCGUAGAUAUUAGGAAGAACACCGGAGGCGAAGGCGGUUUACUGGACUGCAACUGACACUGAGGCUCGAAAGCGUGGGGAGCAAACAGG